rnacentral:rRNA from 1 species
GAGUUUGAUUCUGGCUCAGGAUGAACGCUGGCGGUAUGCUUAACACAUGCAAGUCGAACGGACACCUUCGGGUGUCAGUGGUGGACGGGUGAGUAACGCGUAAGAAUCUGCCCCCAGGUUCGGGAUAACGGAGGGAAACCACCGCUAAUACCGGAUGGGACCGGGAGGUCAAAGGUUUACUGCCUGGGGAUGAGCUUGCGUCCGAUUAGCUAGUUGGAGUGGUAACGGCACACCAAGGCGACAAUCGGUAGCGGGUUUGAGAGGAUGACCCGCCACACUGGGACUGAGACACGGCCCAGGCUCCUACGGGAGGCAGCAGUGGGGAAUUUUCCGCAAUGGGCGAAAGCCUGACGGAGCAAUACCGCGUGAGGGAGGAAGGUCUGUGGAUUGUAAACCUCUUUUCUCUGGGACGAUGAUGACGGUACCAGAGGAAUCAGCCUCGGCUAACUCCGUGCCAGCAGCCGCGGUAAGACGGAGGAGGCAAGCGUUAUCCGGAAUUAUUGGGCGUAAAGGGUGCGUAGGUGGUCAGACAAGUCCCAU